UCUAGCACUGGGCUAUAUCAAACUGCAUAUAUUGUUUAUUUGGAAAGUGGUCUGUUACUUUGUUACUGUCUUUCUCUAACAGCAUACAAAUAUCUCACUAUUUGCAAAAGGAAUGUUUUGAAAGCAUUUCACUUCUAUAGGAGAAAACCAAUGCUGCUUUGACAAAGAACUAAAAGUUAAAAUCUACAUUUCCUAUACUGCAGCUUGGUAACAUUCAUAGAACCCCCCAGUUUG